UAAUGGGUACACUUUGGUAAGAGUAUUAGAUUUGGAGUUCUAAGGAUGUAGGUUUGAAUCCUAUCUUUUUAU
rnacentral:tRNA from 1 species